GGCCGCGGUAAGACAGAGGGUGCGAACGUUGCUCGGAAUUACUGGGCGUAAAGCGCGUGUAGGCGGCCUCGCGAGUCGGGUGUGAAAGCCCGGGGCUCAACCCCGGACGUGCAUUCGAUACUACGAGGCUGGAGUCCUGAAGAGGAGAGCGGAAUUCCCGGUGUAGAGGUGAAAUUCGUAGAUAUCGGGAGGAACACCAGUGGCGAAGGCGGCUCUCUGGACAGGCACUGACGCUGAGACGCGAAAGCGUGGGUAGCAAAC
rnacentral:rRNA from 1 species